rnacentral:misc_RNA from 1 species
GAUGAAGAACGCAGCGAAAUGCGAUAAGUAGUGUGAAUUGCAGAAUUCAGUGAAUCAUCGAAUCUUUGAACGCACAUUGCGCCCCUUGGUAUUCCAUGGGGCAUGCCUGUUCGAGCGUCAUUUGUACCUUCAAGCUCUGCUUGGUGUUGGGUCUUUGUCUCGCCUCUGCGUGUAGACUCGCCUCAAAACAAUUGGCAGCCGGCGUAUUGAUUUCGGAGCGCAGUACAUCUCGCGCUUUGCACUCAUAACGACGACGUCCAAAAGUACAUUUUUACACUCUUGACCUCGGAUCAGGUAGGGAUACCCGCUGAACUUAAGCAUAUCAAUAAGCGGAGGA